rnacentral:rRNA from 1 species
GACAGAGGGUGCAAACGUUGUUCGGAAUUACUGGGCGUAAAGCGCGUGUAGGCGGCAGGGCAUGUCGGAUGUGAAAUCCCGUGGCUCAACCACGGAAGUGCACCCGAAACUGCCCAGCUUGAGUCUCGGAGAGGAAGGCGGAAUGCUUGGUGUAGAGGUGAAAUUCGUAGAUAUCAAGCGGAACACCGGUGGCGGAAGGCGGCCUUCUGGGACGAUGACUGACGCUGAGACGCGAAAGCGUGGGGAGCAAACAGGAU